rnacentral:lncRNA from 1 species
UCAUUUUCAUUUCCAGGUAUUUUCUUUGGCUCAUAACGAAGGAUCAAUUGCCGAACAUGUAAUAGAUUUCAAGCAAUUUGAAGGAUAGAUUCAAGUCUAAUCUCCCUGUUAUUUUACUGAUUUCAUGUGUCUUAUACUUAGCUAUAGAAUCAUAGGUAAUGAUUAGGCUUCUCCUUUAUAAAACUUUGUGUACAAAGGACUCCUAUAGAGUAUUUUCAUAUGCGUAAUGUAACAGGACUGUCGAAAUGCUAG